rnacentral:rRNA from 1 species
GUACCCAACCUGAGAGGGUGAUCGGCCACACUGGAACUGAAACACGGUCCAAACUCCUACGGGAGGCAGCAGUAGGGAAUCUUCCGCAAUGGGCGAAAGCCUGACGGAGCAACGCCGCGUGAGUGAUGAAGGGUUUCGGCUCGUAAAACUCUGUUAUUAGGGAAAAACAAACGUGUAAGUAACUGUGCACGUCUUGACGGUACCUAAUCAAAAAGCCACGGCUAACUACGUGCCAGCAGCCGCGGUAAUACGUAGGUGGCAAGCGUUAUCCGGAAUUAUUGGGCGUAAAGCGCGCGUAGGCGGUUUCUUAAGUCUGAUGUGAAAGCCCACGGCUCACCCGUGGAGGGUCAUUGAAAACUGGGAGACUUGAGUGCAGAAGAGGAAAGUGGAAUUCCAUGUGUAGCGGUGAAAUGCGCAGAGAUAUGGAGGAACACCAGUGGCGAAGGCGACUUUCUGGUCUGUAACUGACGCUGAUGUGCGAAAGCGUGGGGAUCAAACAGGAUUAGAUACCCUGGUAGUCCACGCCGUAACGAUGAGUGCUAAGUGUUAGGGGGUUUCCGCCCCUUAGUGCUGCAGCUAACGCAUUAAGCACUCCGCCUGGGGAGUACGACCGCAGGGUUGAAACUCAAGGAAUUGACGGGGACCCGCACAGCGGUGAGCAUGUGUUUAUUCGAAGCACGCGAGACUUACAAAUCU